CCUACGGGUGGCAGCAGUCGAGAAUCAUUCACAAUGGGGGAAACCCUGAUGGUGCGACGCCGCGUGGGGGAAUGAAGGUCUUCGGAUUGUAAACCCCUGUCAUGUGGGAGCAAAUGAAAAAGAUAGUACCACAAGAGGAAGAGACGGCUAACUCUGUGCCAGCAGCCGCGGUAAUACAGAGGUCUCAAGCGUUGUUCGGAAUCACUGGGCGUAAGGCGUGCGUAGGCUGUUUCGUAAGUCGUGUGUGAAAGGCGCGGGCUCAACCCGCGGACGGCACAUGAUACUGCGAGACUAGAGUAAUGGAGGGGGAACCGGAAGUCUCGGUGUAGCAGUGAAAUGCGUAGAUAUCGAGAGGAACACUCGUGGCGAAGGCGGGUUCCUGGACAUUAACUGACGCUGAGGCACGAAGGCCAGGGGAGCGAAAGGGAUUAGAUACCCGGGUAGUC
rnacentral:rRNA from 1 species